UAAGGUGGAUUAGAUGUUUUUAAAAGAAUCAUUACAAAAGUAUUUAUAACCGGGUGUUUUGCUCGUAAAUACAGACAUAAUCAUAAUAAAAAUACAUAUUAUUAUAUCUAUUAUUAAUUCAAUUGCCAAUAUUAAGUUUUUAUAAUUAAAAAUAUUAUUGUUUUGAUAACAAAAAAAUCUAUAUUAUCUUUUGACUGUGUAAUAAAUUCAUUAUCUAUACUAUACUAAAAGUUCUAAAACUAGAGCAAAGAAGGCAUCCACGUCAGCCAGUUAAUUGUGGCCAAUAACAAGGAGACAACUGUCAAAAAAAACCAACUCACUCAUAUUAUUUGUUAAAGUUACACUACCGAUGGAGACAAAAAUGAUCCGCGGAAACCCAUUUAUUCACAUGAAUUUAUAUUACAGUCCACAUUAAAAGCCCAAAACUGGUAAAUUUAACUCAUCUCCUCAUUCUCAAUCUCACGUUCCAUCUUCCUUAUCCUGAAAUCAAACCUUAAUAGCAUGAAAUCUCUUAAGCAUCAAUAAAUAUGUAAACACUAAUAGCCAGACAAUUUAAUUUCGAAUGGAAUAGGAUGUGUAACGUCUCCCUCCAUUACUAACUGCCAUCAAAGAUUUACAGAACUUAUGACAUCCAAACUCUUCACCUCCCAUCAAACUCGAGCUACAUAUACUCACAUGAAUGGGAAAACUUUUCUCUUCCCAAAUCCCCUUACAAAUAACCAAUCGUACACACCGCUUCAACGGAUACGAACCAUGAGAUUUACAGUGACACCGGUCCGGCGAAAUCAAACACCAAAACCCAGCCGAAAUACACCACCAAUUUACAUGGAGACGAUUCGGUGAAAUUGACUACCAAUGUGAUGGCAAAAUGGACCACUGAUUUAAUGGAAAAAAUCGCUCUGCAAAUCACAGCUCCGGCGAAAGUGGUGCCGAAUUCACGGGCUGUUUUGUCCUCCAAAGCGAAUAAAGCUCUGAAGAACGUAGAGAUGAUUUCUGCUUGGCUGCUAGCUGUUAUAGAUUGAACUGGUCUGAAUGAAGAUAGGGAGAUGAAAUGACCAGACAAGAAAACUCAUUUGUCCACCUUCCACUGAAUGGAUGCAUCAUACAAGAGAGGAUUCUCCUAUCCUCAAAGAUUCCCGAGACAGUGUUGUAUCCUAAGGGAUUUUUGUUUUACUUUUGUUGCCUUCUCCACCAUGAGCUCAUGCAGGGUUCAAGAGUCCAAAAUUACAAUCAGGUUGGUGAUUCAUAAGAAGCUAACAACUUUUCUUUGAUUACUAUUAGAUUUUUGUCUUUCCUAUACGUUUGUCAACAUAUCCGUAUGAAUAUCAGUUUCUCAAAAGAUUCAUGUGUAACAGAACAAAACAACAGUAAUUUUCUCCCAACUUUGUGUAUAAGAAAUAUCUUGACGUU